rnacentral:rRNA from 1 species
ACGGAGGGUGCGAGCGUUAAUCGGAAUCACUGGGCGUAAAGCGCACGCAGGCGGUGCCGUAAGUCGGAUGUGAAAGCCCUCGGCUCAACCGGGGAACUGCCUUCGAUACUGUGAUGCUUGAGUGCCGGAGAGGGUAGCGGAAUUCCAGGUGUAGGAGUGAAAUCCGUAGAUAUCUGGAAGAACACCAGUGGCGAAGGCAGGCACCGAGCCUGCAACUGACGCUGAGGCGCGAAAGCGUGGGGAUCAAACAG